GUAGCCUCUUGUGAUGAAGCCAGGCAGCCCAUGAAAGUUACUGUGCAUGGCCCAGCAUCUCCUCCUCCACUACCUUCUGGAAUUUGCAGGAACAUGCAAUGGAAGCAUCUACUUUGCUCUUCACCUCUCUCUAAUGGCUCCUGCAGAUGAACCUUCCUUUUAAGUCCUUUCCACAGCAGAGAACAAGUUCUCAAAGAUAACAAAGACGACUAUGGCAUGCUUUUCCCGGAGCCACCUUGUGGGAAUUCCUGGUAGUCCCUGUUUUUCCGAGAAGCCAAACAGAAGCUACUGCCACCACUCUUGGCGAAGCGUCUUCUUGGGAAAAAGCCAAAAUUUUCAACAACGGGAAAUGGUGAAGUUGGGAGUGAGAACAAGGCCCAUGAUAGUGAUCAGGUGCGAGAAAGUGGUGGGGAUCGACUUGGGAACGACGAAUUCUGCGGUAGCGGCGAACGAGGGUGGGAAACCAGUUAUAGUGACGAACUCGGAAGGGCAAAGAACGACGCCGUCGGUGGUGGCGUUUACAAAGAGGGGGGAUAGGCUGGUUGGGCAAAUAGCAAAGAGGCAAGCCAUAAUGAACCCAGAGAACACUUAUUUCUCUGUGAAGAGGUUCAUUGGGAGGAAGUACGAGGAGGUGCAGGAAGAGGCUAAGCAGGUCUCCUAUAAGGUGGUCAGGGAUAAGAAUGGGAAUGUCAAGCUCGACUGCCCUGCCGUCGGGAAGCAAUUCUCGCCGGAGGAAAUCUCCGCUCUUGUAUAAUUAUCAGUUUUGCUUGUUGUUUUUAGUUUUGGCAUUUAAAAAUAAGCUUCAUCAAUCCGUAAGUUCUGAUGCUAAAUUGAUCAGGUUUAAAAUUCUUGAAAAAAUUGAAAAAAUAUAUAUAUAUUAAAAAGUUGAAGAAAUUUUUGCUAUUAGGAGUAAAUAUGAUAUAUAAUGAGCUUGAACUUCAACUUGAUUGAAUAUUAUAGUGAAACAGGUUCUGAGAAAGCUAGGAGAAGAUGCAUCAAAGUUCUUAAAUGACAAAGUAUGUAAAGCUGUGAUUACAGUUCCAGCUUAUUUCAAUGAUUCCCAACGGACGGCGACAAAGGAUGCUGCUUAUAUUGCUGGUUUAGAAGCUCUUCGGAUCAUCAAUGAACCUACUGCUGCAGCUUUGGCUUAUGGCUUUGAGAAGAAGAAUAAUGAAACCAUUUUAGUAUUUGACCUUGGUGGUGG
rnacentral:misc_RNA from 1 species